UGGGGGAUCUUGCGCAAUGGGCGGAAGCCUGACGCAGCGACGCCGCGUGGGGGAGAAGGCUCUUUGGGUUGUAAACCCCUGUCUUAGGGGACGAAGGAAGGACGGUACCC
rnacentral:rRNA from 1 species